GUUCCGGACCGGUCGCCGCCGAACCCGACCCCGUGGAGCCAGCCCGCGAGAUCCGGGCCGAGCAGCAACCCCCUGCUCGCCCAACCUCCUCCCGGGAGUUACUACAGCUACCCCCAUUUGAGCCGUGCGCCGGACCUCAACUCCCUGCUCCACACCCCCAGCGCCAGCAAUGCCAGCAAUUCUGCUGCUGGUGCCGUCGAUCUUUCUCGCGCUUAUACUCCGCUUGGCGGCGCGCCGGCGGUGCUGCCAAAGUACCCGCGGUAUGGGUUGUCCGCCGGCAGCGGCGCCGAGCAGUCCUCCUUGGGGGCAUUGUUCCUCAACAAGACCUCCUCUAAUGUGCAGGUUAAUUUGCCGGGGGAAACUUCGACUUCAACCAUCGACGGAAUGUCCCACGGCGCCGCGCAGUUUCAGGAUUCAAGUGCAGCGCAAAUGAUGCAGAAGCUAGCAUCCAAACCGACCCCUCGCCAUCAGCCCGCGCCUCUCACGGAUCGUAUCCACGUCUCCUGUCUGAAUGUCGGUGGAGAGCUCUUCGUGGGUGAUGCUGGGCUUUUUGGAGUUCUUUGCUCAUGUCAUCAGUUGAGGAUGUCUGUAGCUAAGUUUUGUGAGCAUGCAGGAGGGCCUGCAGAAAAAGCUGGUGAAAUUGUCCUCAUGGAGAAUGGCAUGAGUAUUGCACAUUGGUUCAAAUACUGCGUAGGGGUUGGAUCAUAUGUUACUGACACUAAGUGUGAUCGGCCAGAAUGGGCGUGUAUAGAUCCUUCUCCAGAAGGAUACAGGCUGAAAAAUCUCCUUGCGAGAAACACUAGUAUGGAAAAAGUUGGGUUAUUCAAUGCAUAUGGAAAAAGCACAGGACCUAUAAACGGAACAGUUUAUUCGAAUGAUCUGCGAAAAAGCACAGGACCUAUAAGCGGAACAGUUUAUUCCAGUGAUCUGCACAAUGAAGGUAGAGGGCACACUACCGUUGAAAAGCUAGGGAAUAAGAGAGAUGGAACAUAUUACAGGAGUGCUGAUGUACACACAUCUUUUGCUAGGAACUUUGCUUUACUGCAGAAUUCUGAAACAAAUCUAGGGCUUGCUAAAAACCAUACUGUUAAUGCAGUGAACCUAAACCAAAUUAGCAGGCCAAGUGGAAGCCCAUAUAUUACAGCAAGCACGAAUGCACAUCACAAUGGGAAUCAUUCGUCACAUAGUUAUGCAGAUCUUGUGGAGAAUAACUUUGGUGCCUCGUUUCGUAAUCCAGCUCCAAGAUCUCCAGUAGUUUUUAGCAAUGAUACUAGGGCAGGCAGAUAUAAUUUUCCCAACAAAAUACUCCAAGAUAGUUUGAGCAGUGCUUCGAAUACCGAAUUGAAGCUUGGGCAGUCCUCUUAUCAUCAAUCUCUGACUGCCCUAUUUCCGUCGGCGCAGUCAACAUUAAUUGAUUUUCAGAGACCUCAGUCACAUCUGCCAUCAGUAACUCAAAAUCAUUGUCCAAGGCAAACAGUCAAGGUCAGUAAAAAUAUAGGGGAACAUUAUGAACCACCAAUUGGUAGAGGAACUAGCGAACAAUCUAAUGGAGUUGCUAGUGCUAUCAAUCGUUCUGAAGGUGGCAAGGUUACAGAUGCAGCAGCCAAGAAUUCAUUUAUCUCAAUAUUUCUUUCGCAUCUUGAGAGGAAUAGUGAAGCCAUCGAUGAUAUUCUCAAGAGUAGCGAGCAUAGCCUUCCUAAGGGUUUGGAUGGUGCAUAUAGUUCCUAUCAUUCAAAGUUUGCAAGUAGACAAGUUGAGCCAAGGGCUAAUGAUAAUCGUUCUAAGUUGGCCUCUACCAGCAUUCAUACUGAAAGGAUAUCAGAUGACAGGGCUCUUUCAGUGGCACUCAGUGGAUCUUCAAAAGUUGUACCACUUGCAAAUAGUCAGAACUCUUUAAUCCAUAGUGACUGCCGGUCGCAUUUGCUGCCUAGGCAACCUAAUGCUGGAAGCUCCAAAGUUUGUGAUGGUGCAUAUAGUUCCUAUCAUUCAAAAAGUGCAAAUAGACAAGUUGAGCCAAGGGCCAAUGAUAAUCAUUCUAAUUUGGUCUCUACCAGUAUUCAUACGAAAAGGAUAUCAGAUGGCAUGGCACCCAGCAGAUGUGCUUCAAAAGUUGGACCUCUUGCAAAUAGUCAUGAGCCCUUAAUCCAUAGUGACUGCCAGUCGCAUUUGCUGCAUAGCCAACCUAAUGCUGGAAGCUCCAAAAUUUGUGCAGGAGUUCCAUGUCCUGCAAAUUGCAGGACCGGCAAUCAUGCGGGCGAUAUAUCCCAUCAGGCUCCCUGUAUGUAUGAUAAAGUGUGCUCCAACCAUUUUAUGCAGGCCAAUGGACAUAAUACUUUUGAGUGUGUAGACGACUCAUGCACACACAGAAGUUCGAGAGUUGCCAAAAUCAUCUGCCAUUGUCGAAAUUCCUGCUCUUCAUCUAGGGAGUUUCUACCUAGUUUUGGCCAACAUGAUCAAUCAACGUUAGAAAAAUCAAUACAUCGAUGCUGUUACAGAGUUCAGGAAGAUGUUUCUAGACUUGGUUUUGGAGCUGGUCACUUGUGCCGAACUCAAUUCUCGAAUGACGGUGCUCCAAUCCAUAAACUAGGGUUGCAUGAGCUUUGCACCUGCUCCACUUUCAUACCAAGGCCAUCGCUAUGUUCUGGAGAUUAUAUCUUGCAGCCUUCUUGCCAUGUGUGCUCUCCUGAUGGGUUUCAUUACAGAAGUUCCAUGGGACAUGCAACCAACAGCUUGACCAAAUGCCCUCUGCUUGAUCCACCUAAUAAGAAAGAAUCAGGUUCAUGUCGGGAUGGCAGAUGCUGCUGCUCUGUAGUCUCAAAAUGUUUGACAGGUUGUGGCUUUGCAAAGCACUGCGAUGACAGAAUUGACCAAAGUGGUAGUAGUUUACAUAAGUGCAAGCAUGAUGUACAACUGCCUACCAGAUGCGUGGGGGAGAGUGAAAAGUUAAGAUGCCCUUGCUCAAGCAGUGCUCAAACACCUUUGUUGAAAGCUGUCUCUAAUAAAAUGACAAACCAGCUUUUCGCUCCUAUAUCAGAGAGACUGAAGAAUGUAUCAGAAGAAUCAGUGGCCAAGGCCAGUUCGCCUUAUAUAGCUGUAACGGAGAAAAAUGGCUCCUGUAGAGGUUCUGGUGUAUGUAAAGAACGACUGAAGCCUGGUUUUUCUUCUGGAUCCUCCAGUGCUGUGGUGACAAAGUUUCCAGCAUCACCUGAAUUUAACAAUACAUCCUCGUGUGUGGAUAAAUAUGGUGUUGAACACAAAAAACUCAUGUUUGACGAAGGAUCAAGAACUGAGAAAAGUUCGUCGUCGUCAAGCUAUGUGCCUAUCAGUACAGGAUGUGAAAAGUCGCUAAAUGGUUCCUCUACAUUUCACUUAGACACAUCUAAAGUGAAGAGAAAAUAUUGUCAGAUUUCUGACGGAAGUACACUCAAAGAUAAUGGCAAGCGACAACGUUCUGAAACACAAAGGAAAUCAAGAAGAUUGAAGUGCUCUGAGGAACAUUCAGAAUCUGAUGAUUGUACUAGGAAAAUUACUUUGCAGUCAUCCGAAAAUGGAGACCCUCAACCACAGAAUAAGGCUAGUUCGUAUUCUUGCAGUGUGUCAAAAAUUAAACAGAAACAUACUACCAUGCAACGAAAUAAGCCAGUGAAACGGCCUCGCAUCCAUCAAGAGAUUUUGAAAGGUGGUGAGCAGUCAGAUGGUGAGGGCAUUAUGGUUGGAGAAUUAAAUUCCUCUGAUGAGAAGAAGCAAGUAGAGGAUAUGAGCACCCUGGUUAGAAAAAAACAUCAACAGGAAGGGAGCCGAAUGUCUGCUCGAAAACCACCUAAAUAUGUUUCUCUCAACUGCAUUUUAAAUGAACCUAAGAGUGAAAAUGUUUGUAGUGAGGUUCCCCUUCUCGAUUCUAGCUUAAUUGCUACAGGGAUAACAGAUGAUAAUCGAAAAUUUCCUAAAAUUGCUCCACUUAGUCUGGUUCUUAAAAAGGCGAAGAGAUGCAAUGCUGUCAAAACCCCCUGCAACACAGAAAACAUCCACUCUUGUGAGGAAAAGAGUGCAGUUCGUCCUGUAGGUAAAUAUUCUUUUGGUAAUCAAAAUUACAGUUCAAAAGCUGAAGAUGGAAUUCAGAGUUCCAAAAAGAGUAGAUAUCCACCUAAUGCCUUGAGGUUGAGACCGAACAUUGAGCGUGACUGCAAAAGGCCCUGCAUCGAUCUUUGGGAAGGUAAGCCUAUUGGCCCAACAGAUGCGGAGACAAGCCAACUUUCAGUGCAAACAUCAAGAAAAGGAUUUAGGAAUCGAAGAUCAAGUGUAUCUGUUGAUAGGAUUAAGAAGUGUGAAGAAUCUGCAAAUAGAUCAGCACGUGGUCCUUGUGGCGAUAAACAAAAUGUGGUUCAAGCCUGUGAAGUGAAUGCUGGAAGGUACAAAGAAAGGCUUAGCUCAGCUGAUUCAUGUUGUGUUUGUCGAAUUCCAUACCUGGAGCCUUGCAAUCAGUUGAUGGAGUGCAGCAAGUGCUUUGUCAAAGCGCACCAAGCUUGCUAUGGUGUUCUAAAAGUUCCAAGAGGCCAAUGGUUCUGUAGACCCUGCAAGACCAAUGCCAAUGCCCAGGACACUGUUUGCGUUUUAUGUGGCUAUGGAGGUGGAGCCAUGACAAGGGCAUUGAACGCUCAAAAAAUCCUGACAAGUUUGCGAAAAGGUCUGAGAGUUACAUCACGAGCAGAUAAACAUGUCAAACACGAUCCAUCUUAUGCGUCAAGAUCAACGAGUUUGGAAAACGUAUCUAGAGUAGAUAAACAGAGGCCAGUAGACAAUGCACAUGAGGAGAACACCGUCAGCAGCUCAUGGACUGCGAACCACAAUUCAAGUCUACUCGUUCCACACACGUCGUGGUGGGUCCAUGUUGUCUGUGGUCUGUGGACACCCGGUACAAAAUGCCCAAAUCCCACCACAAUGAGCGCCUUCGAUCUAUCGGGUGCUUUGCCUGCCAAAAGUGAUUAUGCAUGCUCGAUGUGUGACAGAGCUGGGGGUUCAUUCAUGAUGUGCCGAGAUGUGAAUUGCUCGGUGACCUUCCAUGCUUGGUGUGCCCACCAGAGGGGUCUGUUGCAAAGUGAUCCAGAAGGCGAGCAUAAUGAAUAUAUUGGUUUUUAUGGGAGAUGCCUGAAUCAUGCUACUAACCGUGUUAAUCCUGAGAAAUGCUUGAGAAGCAAUGAAUGGACAUGUGCACGCACAGAGGGUUUUAAAGGACGAAAGGGUGAAGGCUGUUCUGGUUCUAAUUACAAGAAACCUCAAGUGAAGAGUAGUGAGUGCAGUGUUUCCCAAGAACAGAUAAAUGCUUGGCUACGGAUAAACGGAUCAAAGCCUUGCAUAAGAAGACAGUCCAAAGGAUGGAAGCAUUUGGUAGUGUAUAAAUCUGGCAUACAUGGACUUGGCCUCUACACAUCAGAGUUUAUACCGCGUGGCUCCAUGGUUAUAGAGUAUGUUGGUGAAAUUGUUGGGCAGCGCGUUGCCGACAAAAGAGAGAUCGAGUACCACUCUGGGAAACGGCAACAGUACAAGAGCGUCUGUUAUUUCUUCAAGAUUGACAAGGAGCAUAUUAUCGACGCCACCCGCAAGGGUGGGAUUGCAAGAUUCAUCAACCACUCAUGCAUGCCAAACUGCGUCGCGAAAAUAAUCUCUGUCAAGAACGAGAAGAAGGUAGUGUUCUUCUCGGAGCGCCACAUAGAUCCAGGGGAGGAAAUCACGUACGAUUAUCACUUCAACCAAGAGGAUGAAGGCGAAAGAAUCCCUUGCUUCUGUAGAUCAUUUAGCUGCAGGCAGUAUCUCAACUAG
rnacentral:rRNA from 1 species